rnacentral:misc_RNA from 1 species
GGGGAUCACUGCUACUAGGUCGCUACUUUCCAACAUUUUAUAUAUAUAGUUAAUUAUAAACAGAUGAGGCAGCAUAAGUUAACCCUUAUAGCUGUUGCACCAUUAGGAAUAAAUAAGCUACUUAGAUUGUUUUAUUGAAGUGGAAAUUAUAACAUCCAUCAUAGCUCUUGGUUAAAUUGGAUCUACUUCAAAACUUGCAGCUUAGCAGGAAUGGACAAUGGUGAGACCUUUUGUGGACUUGAAUUUUGCAUCCCCUGGUGAGGACUUGAGGCCGCUAGACCGUGCCAAUAAGUUAUAUUUGAGUGACCAGAGAAGCUGCUCUUGCUCUUCAUUAAUUUACUUGGGAGACAAGAUUCAUAAUUUGUAUUCUUCAAUGAUUACAUGCUUACGAAUAAGAUUAUAAACUGAGUAUUGGCAGACAUGAGAUCACAAGAGCUAAAUGUGCCUUAAUAUCUGAAUAAACUAAUAGAAGGCGUUUAGCAUCUCUCUCCAAAGCGAUCAAUAGCGCACGGUAAGGUGCCAGCUAGCUUUAUAGUUCAACGAUGCACACAAAACCCGAGAGACUUUCACUAUUGUGUUUAUAUUCUUGAAGGCUUACCGUAUACCCGAAUGUAUUUAGUUUGCCAGUUUUGACAUUACGGGGAAUCGUUCAUGCGUUAGGAUCUUGUUAGCCAUUACGGAGAAGUGUUCUAAAGGUGAUUCGCUCAAUCUUUGCAAGUUAACAAAUUGUGGUCACUCAUAUAGGAAAAUACAAUAGAAUACUUCGCGACAACUGUGUAUUAAGAAUAUACUACAGACUCGGGGGAGCAUGUCUACGGCGGGAAACACAAAAAUGGACCCUGUCUGCUCGAGGGGUGUGCGCAGUAAGGCCCGUGGUCAAGAUGUGAUAGGCUGACAUUUCCAGUCGUGGUCCAGCUGUUGUGUCGGGAAGGUGUUACGCUCUCCGUGUUGCCGAGUGUGGUAGUGGUGGCGGGAGGGUGUGUGUUAUUUCCUCGUUAUGGCAGCUCUCCCUAGCGAUAUACAGGUGGGGCACUGAGCUGUACGCUGAGCGGGCCACCCCCAGGAUGCCAGGGCUCCCCACGCCCACGCCUACCACCUCUCCGGCACGCCCGCGCCGCCACUCUCUUUCGCGCCGCCAUGCCAGCGCCGCCCAACCCGUGGUGUAGACACGCGCGGCCGCCCGCCUCGCCGGCACGGGGCGUCGGGUAGCUCCACUGUGGCUCCCGAAUUCACGUGUGUGUGUGUGUGGCGAGUGACUGAGUGACACGGUGAGAGGCAGAAGCGUGACGGAGCGGCCCGGCCAGUACGGGAGGGCGGCGCCCACCACCUGGGGGCGUAAUGGCGGAAGGGAGGCGAGAAGGGACGCAGCCUGCCAUCUAAGAGCCAUGCAGAAGGCGGGCGGUGGGGGCGCGCACACCCCUGACGGGGCGCUGCAGCACCUGGAGCAGCUGGAGCAGCUCAUCAAGACGGUGGAGGCGCGCCGGGCCGCCAGCUGCGAUCUGAGCGACGGUUCGCCCACGCCCGCCUCCCCGCAUCCCCUCACGCCCACCUCCAUCCCCAGCCGCAACGCGAACUUUUGGCGCGAGGUGUCCCCGCAGCUUUCCUACAUUGACGGCGGCAGCUCUUGCGGCGCCUCCUGCGGGCGUAGCGUGUCGUGGAACCUCUCCGACCUGCCGGGCAACGAGUGUGGCCCGCGCGCCCCACGUUCUGACUAUCGCGCCUCCUCAGACUCCCUCAAGCUGCACCAGAAUGGCACGCCGCCCCUGCCGCCCCUCACGCCCAUCACCAAAUCUGCCUCGGACACGCUGUGCUCGCCCUCCCACCAGCCCGCCGCCCACUCCGUCGUGGAGGUGGAGAAGGGUGACAUCAAGACUAAGAUCCAGAAGAGACUCAGCUUCGGCGACACUCUUGACCUGCACACUAACAUCUACACGCCCGCCGAGGAGUGCAUGGCCACCAGCCUGGAGCUGGCGGGCGCCGAGGGCACCGCCAACGGUUCCUCCACGUCCCUCGAGCGGCGGUGGACCGAGGAAGACGCCACGGGUGGACCACCGUUGGUGCGCCGCAACUCUGUGGACGCGCAGAGCCAGUACUCUUUCUACAUGGACCGCGACCUGCGCUACUACUUCCAGCAUCCGUGGCUCAGGCUCAUCAUCGCCUACCUCGUCAUCUUCUGCAACUUCCUGCUGUUUGCCGAGGAUCCCGUGUCACACUCCCACGCAGAAUCAAACAUUCCUGUGGUCGGCAACGUGUUCAGCUUCGUGUCGACCAAAUAUCCAGACGAGUGGUUUUGGAGGAUGAUCAAGGUCAUCAUGUGGCUGAUAGCAAUACUCUGCGGGAUGUUGGUGGGGAAAGUGCUGAUCCACGGACUGAUUUUCAAGAAAAUUCUACGACUCAAGAUGUUCCGAGACGAGCAGGGCUCCUGGAUGACUAUGUUCCUGACGGUGAUCGUGUCGCUGUACAUGUUCUCCUACGUGUACAACCUGAUCCUCUUCGUGGGCCACGAGAAGUACUGCAGAUGGCAAAUCGGCUCUGACAUGGACGUAACCAACGAGAGCAUGAUGAAGGCCGCGGCAACCUGCACGUGGCUGGGAGAUCUGGUGACUGCCCUCAUGGUAACAGAUAUGAUGCUGCAGGACAACUUGUAUCCGAACUGGGCGCCUGAGUUCCGUCGCCUUUACCGGAUUUCAAACGUCCCGCGAAUCCUAAUCUUCUGGUGCGGGUAUAUCGUGGUGGCAAUAGUGGUGAUCUUCCUCAUCGUGUCUGACUAUAUAUCCUGGGACGAGCUUAACAAGGGCUUCGUGGAAACUACCGAAUUAUCACGUGCAUUCCUGGCAUCCUUCAUCCUCGUCAUGGACUUGCUGAUUGUCAUGCAGGAUUGGGACUUCCCACACUUCACCUCCACCAUUGACGUUAACCUGCCAGGCUUCUCUACCUACAUCCUCCGCUGGAAGUACGCUAAGAUAUCCGUCACUGGCAAGUGGUUCAACUAUGGCAUCAUCUUUAUGGUCAUGAUUCUGGACCUCAACAUGUGGAAGAACCAGCUCUUCUACAGUCCUGGUCCCUAUGGCCAGUAUAUAGACCCCAACAGCAGCAAAGUGUACACGGUAGAGGACCCUGUGUUCAUCAGUGAGGGCAACGAGAGUAUGUGGACGUGGAAGGCACGCUCAGAGAUAGACAACGCAACGGGCCGACCUUACUUAGAAGCGGACAUGGACAUGAACUCUCGCUACAUGGACUACAGCCUCUCAGUGAAGUGUACUGCCUUCAUUCCCAACAUACUAGGUUUCAUCAUGCUCUUUACUUUGGUCUCCCUGUACGGCCGCUUCCCACCCAACCAGCAUUACUGUGCAAUGUAAGGUAUUGGUAAUUUCACUCAAGCACUACAUAUGUUGCAGUGUUCAGUACAUCGACGGAACGUACGGAGGGCGGCUGAAGAAGAAGAAACGCUCAUCGUGGAGGCGAGAAAGGAAGUCAGCAUCAGAGCACUACUAUAGAGACCUGCCUUCAGGGA